GAAUNUAGCUCUGUACUCGCGAACUGCAUCUAGAUUAGAGUUUGAUCAUGGCUCAGAGUGAACGCUGGCGGUAGUGCCUAACACAUGGCAAGUCGUAACGGCAGCACAGGAGAGCUUGCUCUCUGGGUGGCGAGUGGCGGACGGGUGAGGAAUACAUCGGAAUCUACUCUGUCGUGAGGGAUAACGUAUUGGAAUACUUACGCUAAUACCGCAGUACGUACCCUACGGGUNGACAAGUCAGGNGACCUUCGGGGCCGUUGUCGCGGANUUGAACUGAGCCGACUGNUCGGAUUAGCCUUAGUUUGGCGGGGGCCUACACAGGGCCCCAUUUNUUUUGGGGGCCGUAACGUAAGCUCCGNGUUAGACUNGGUGUCGAUGGAGNAAGGGGAACUGAAUCAUGCCAGACAUAGCGUGNGAAACCUGGAGGGAACCAUACCGUGAGUCCCAAGGUANAUCAGUUCCCCCAUUAAUACGUGGUGAGAAGAUGACCAANGGCAUAGCCUUGGGCGGCGGAAAAUCAAUUCAUUUAUGGNGUAGUCCAUAAAGCUUAGUGGUGACCGGCCCACAGAGGACCCCUCUUGGAAAAGUUCCCCCAUAGCCCCCACUUUAUCCCCCGAGCCCGCGAUUAUGCUAGCUUUUUANCUACAGGAAUAAUAGGGNNACCAUUAUCNAGGUNGGUUUAUG
rnacentral:rRNA from 1 species